rnacentral:lncRNA from 1 species
UGGGGGAUCGUUUGACUAGUCCGCAGGAUUUCCAGGUGUUAUCCUGCGUCUAGGGAUGAGCGGUCCAACCGGAGGACGAAACUCCAAAGCUCCCACACCGGAACAUCCAACGCCAUGUGUAGCUCCCAAACUAUGUCCUACGCGCGCAGACUGGAUCAUCACACACCGGAACAUCCAACGCCAUGGUGAUGACCCUAAACUCUAUACAAAGUCUUUCCAUACGCCGGAACAUCUCACGCCUCAUAUGGAAAGUGUCUCACACGCCGGAACAUCCAACGCCGCGAGUGAGACUGGUAACUGGGGAAGGUACUUACGUAGUGUACACACACAACUUCUCUCAAAAUCAAAUUCUUCCACAACACCCUCCAACAACCCAAGUAUCUCGUCUAAAGAGAAUAUAUAAAUAUACUUCCUCACAACCCAUAUAAAAUGCACUCUCAAAACCCACAAUGCCAAACUCACAAUAUAUUGCCAAGUGCUAUACAACCAACAUAAUCAACUCAUAAAUAUAAUAUAUAUUCCA